rnacentral:rRNA from 1 species
AGUGAACGCUGGCGGUAGGCCUAACACAUGCAAGUCGAACGGCAGCACAGUAAGAGCUUGCUCUUACGGGUGGCGAGUGGCGGACGGGUGAGGAAUACAUCGGAAUCUACUUUUUCGUGGGGGAUAACGUAGGGAAACUUACGCUAAUACCGCAUACGACCUACGGGUGAAAGCAGGGGAUCUUCGGACCUUGCGCGAUUGAAUGAGCCGAUGUCGGAUUAUCUAGUUGGCGGGGUAAAGGCCCACCAAGGCGACGAUCCGUAGCUGGUCUGAGAGGAUGAUCAGCCACACUGGAACUGAGACACGGUCCAGACUCCUACGGGAGGCAGCAGUGGGGAAUAUUGGACAAUGGGCGCAAGCCUGAUCCAGCCAUACCGCGUGGGUGAAGGAGGCCUUCGGGUUGUAAAGCCCUUUUGUUGGGAAAGAAAAGCAGCAGGUUAAUACCCCGCUGUUCUGACGGUACCCAAAGAAUAAGCACCGGCUAACUUCGUG